rnacentral:rRNA from 1 species
UACGUAGGGGGCAAGCGUUGUCCGGAUUUAUUGGGCGUAAAGAGCUCGUAGGUGGUUCGGUAAGUCGGAUGUGAAAUCUCCAGGCUCAACCUGGAGGGGUCAUUCGAUACUGCCGUGACUAGAGGUCGGUAGGGGAGUGUGGAAUUCAUGGUGUAGCAGUGAAAUGCGUAGAGAUCAUGAGGAAGACCAGUGGCGAAGGCGGGUCUCUGGACAGUUCCUGACACUGAGACACGAAGGCCAGGGGAGCAAACGGG